AUCCAGCUGACAAGUCCCGAAUAGGAUGAAACGCGCGUCCUGAAU
rnacentral:hammerhead_ribozyme from 1 species